rnacentral:misc_RNA from 1 species
AACGCACCUUGCGCCUUUUGGUAUUCCGAAAGGCAUGCCUGUUUGAGUGUCAUGAAACAUCAAUCCUCUCGGGUUUCGUUAUCCGGGAGAGCUUGGAUUUGGGCUCUGCCGCACCGGCUCGCCUUAAAGACGUUAGUGGGAGGUCUCCCUACGGUUUGACGUGAUAAGAUUUCGUCUCGCCUCGGGAAACCGUCCGCUCACAACACCCCAUAUCUUUACUUCUGACCUCAAAUCAGGUAGGGCUACCCGCUGAACUUAA